CCUACGGGAGGCAGCAGUGGGGAAUAUUGGACAAUGGGGGCAACCCUGAUCCAGCCAUGCCGCGUGUGUGAAGAAGGCCCUCGGGUUGUAAAGCACUUUCAGUGAGGAAGAACGCCUGGUGGUUAAUACCCAUCAGGAAAGACAUCACUCACAGAAGAAGCACCGGCUAACUCCGUGCCAGCAGCCGCGGUAAUACGGAGGGUGCGAGCGUUAAGCGGAAUUACUGGGCGUAAAGCGCGCGUAGGUGGCUUGAUAAGCCGGUUGUGAAAGCCCCGGGCUCAACCUGGGAACGGCAUCCGGAACUGUCAAGCUAGAGUGCAGGAGAGGAAGGUAGAAUUCCCGGUGUAGCGGGGAAAUGCGUAGAGAUCGGGAGGAAUACCAGUGGCGAAGGCGGCCUUCUGGACUGACACUGACACUGAGGUGCGAAAGCGUGGGUAGCAAACAGGAUUAGAUACCCGGGUAGUC
rnacentral:rRNA from 1 species